GACGUAGGGCGCGAGCGUUGUCCGGAUUUAUUGGGCGUAAAGAGCUCGUAGGCGGCUCGUUGCGUCGGCUGUGAAAACUCACAGCUUAACUGUGGGCGUGCGGGCGAUACGGGCAGACUUGAGUACUGCAGGGGAGACUGGAAUUCCUGGUGUAGCGGUGGAAUGCGCAGAUAUCAGGAGGAACACCGGUGGCGAAGGCGGGUCUCUGGGCAGUAACUGACGCUGAGGAGCGAAAGCGUGGGGAGCGAACAGG
rnacentral:rRNA from 1 species